rnacentral:rRNA from 1 species
GGGUUGUGAGGUUAAGCGACUAAGCGUACACGGUGGAUGCCCUGGCAGUCAGAGGCGAUGAAGGACGUGCUAAUCUGCGAAAAGCGCCGGCGAGGUGAUAUGAACCUUUGACCCGGCGAUGUCCGAAUGGGGAAACCCAGUGUGAUUCGUCACACUAUCGUUAACUGAAUACAUAGGUUAACGAGGCGAACCGGGGGAACUGAAACAUCUAAGUACCCCGAGGAAAAGAAAUCAACCGAGAUUCCCCCAGUAGCGGCGAGCGAACGGGGAGCAGCCCAGAGUCUGAAUCAGCUUGUGUGUUAGUGGAAGCGUCUGGAAAGUCGCACGGUACAGGGUGACAGUCCCGUACACGAAAGCACACAGGCUGUGAACUCGAAGAGUAGGGCGGGACACGUGGUAUCCUGUCUGAAUAUGGGGGGACCAUCCUCCAAGGCUAAAUACUCCUGACUGACCGAUAGUGAACCAGUACCGUGAGGGAAAGGCGAAAAGAACCCCGGCGAGGGGAGUGAAAAAGAACCUGAAACCGUGUACGUACAAGCAGUGGGAGCCUCUUUUAUGGGGUGACUGCGUACCUUUUGUAUAAUGGGUCAGCGACUUAUAUUCUGUAGCAAGGUUAACCGUAUAGGGGAGCCGAAGGGAAACCGAGUCUUAACUGGGCGUUAAGUUGCAGGGUAUAGACCCGAAACCCGGUGAUCUAGCCAUGGGCAGGUUGAAGGUUGGGUAACACUAACUGGAGGACCGAACCGACUAAUGUUGAAAAAUUAGCGGAUGACUUGUGGCUGGGGGUGAAAGGCCAAUCAAACCGGGAGAUAGCUGGUUCUCCCCGAAAGCUAUUUAGGUAGCGCCUCGUGAACUCAUCUUCGGGGGUAGAGCACUGUUUCGGCUAGGGGGCCAUCCCGGCUUACCAACCCGAUGCAAACUACGAAUACCGAAGAAUGUUAUCACGGGAGACACACGGCGGGUGCUAACGUCCGUCGUGAAGAGGGAAACAACCCAGACCGCCAGCUAAGGUCCCAAAGUCAUGGUUAAGUGGGAAACGAUGUGGGAAGGCACAGACAGCCAGGAUGUUGGCUUAGAAGCAGCCAUCAUUUAAAGAAAGCGUAAUAGCUCACUGGUCGAGUCGGCCUGCGCGGAAGAUGUAACGGGGCUAAACCAUGCACCGAAGCUGCGGCAGCGACACUAUGUGUUGUUGGGUAGGGGAGCGUUCUGUAAGCCGUUGAAGGUGUCCUGUGAGGGGUGCUGGAGGUAUCAGAAGUGCGAAUGCUGACAUAAGUAACGAUAAAGCGGGUGAAAAGCCCGCUCGCCGGAAGACCAAGGGUUCCUGUCCAACGUUAAUCGGGGCAGGGUGAGUCGACCCCUAAGGCGAGGCCGAAAGGCGUAGUCGAUGGGAAACAGGUUAAUAUUCCUGUACUUGGUGUUACUGCGAAGGGGGGACGGAGAAGGCUAUGUUAGCCGGGCGACGGUUGUCCCGGUUUAAGCAUGUAGGCGGAGGUUCCAGGUAAAUCCGGUUCCUUAUUAACGCUGAGGUGUGAUGACGAGGCACUACGGUGCUGAAGUAACAAAUGCCCUGCUUCCAGGAAAAGCCUCUAAGCAUCAGGUAACAUCAAAUCGUACCCCAAACCGACACAGGUGGUCAGGUAGAGAAUACCAAGGCGCUUGAGAGAACUCGGGUGAAGGAACUAGGCAAAAUGGUGCCGUAACUUCGGGAGAAGGCACGCUGAUAUGUAGGUGAAGCCCCUGCGGGUGGAGCUGAAAUCAGUCGAAGAUACCAGCUGGCUGCAACUGUUUAUUAAAAACACAGCACUGUGCAAACACGAAAGUGGACGUAUACGGUGUGACGCCUGCCCGGUGCCGGAAGGUUAAUUGAUGGGGUUAGCGGUAACGCGAAGCUCUUGAUCGAAGCCCCGGUAAACGGCGGCCGUAACUAUAACGGUCCUAAGGUAGCGAAAUUCCUUGUCGGGUAAGUUCCGACCUGCACGAAUGGCGUAAUGAUGGCCAGGCUGUCUCCACCCGAGACUCAGUGAAAUUGAACUCGCUGUGAAGAUGCAGUGUACCCGCGGCAAGACGGAAAGACCCCGUGAACCUUUACUAUAGCUUGACACUGAACACUGGUCCUUGAUGUGUAGGAUAGGUGGGAGGCUUUGAAGCGUGGACGCCAGUCUGCGUGGAGCCAACCUUGAAAUACCACCCUUUAAUGGCUGGUGUUCUAACGUAGACCCGUGAUCCGGGUUGCGGACAGUGUCUGGUGGGUAGUUUGACUGGGGCGGUCUCCUCCCAAAGAGUAACGGAGGAGCACGAAGGUUAGCUAAUCCUGGUCGGACAUCAGGAGGUUAGUGCAAUGGCAUAAGCUAGCUUGACUGCGAGAGUGACGGCUCGAGCAGGUGCGAAAGCAGGUCAUAGUGAUCCGGUGGUUCUGAAUGGAAGGGCCAUCGCUCAACGGAUAAAAGGUACUCCGGGGAUAACAGGCUGAUACCGCCCAAGAGUUCAUAUCGACGGCGGUGUUUGGCACCUCGAUGUCGGCUCAUCACAUCCUGGGGCUGAAGUAGGUCCCAAGGGUAUGGCUGUUCGCCAUUUAAAGUGGUACGCGAGCUGGGUUUAGAACGUCGUGAGACAGUUCGGUCCCUAUCUGCCGUGGGCGCUGGAGAAUUGAGGGGGGCUGCUCCUAGUACGAGAGGACCGGAGUGGACGCAUCACUGGUGUUCGGGUUGUCAUGCCAAUGGCACUGCCCGGUAGCUAAAUGCGGAAGAGAUAAGUGCUGAAAGCAUCUAAGCACGAAACUUGCCCCGAGAUGAGUUCUCCCUGAGACUUUAAGUCUCCUGAAGGAACGUUGAAGACUACGACGUUGAUAGGUCGGGUGUGUAAGCGCAGCGAUGCGUUGAGCUAACCGAUACUAAUGAACCGUGAGGCUUAACCUUACAACGCCGAAG